rnacentral:rRNA from 1 species
CACGUAGGGUGCGAGCGUUGUCCGGAAUUAUUGGGCGUAAAGAGCUCGUAGGCGGUGUGUCGCGUCGGCCGUGAAAACCUGCAGCUUAACUGUGGGCUUGCGGUCGAUACGGGCAUCACUGGAGUUCGGCAGGGGAGACUGGAAUUCCUGGUGUAGCGGUGAAAUGCGCAGAUAUCAGGAGGAACACCGGUGGCGAAGGCGGGUCUCUGGGCCGUAACUGACGCUGAGGAGCGAAAGCGUGGGGAGCGAACAGGA